UGCGGGGGCAGCACCAGAACAGCUGUUUGCCUCGUGGGCUUUGCGGUAGGCAUUCCACAGGUCCUUUACUUUAACCCGACACUGCACCGCAUCCCAGUCAUGGCCCUUGAUAUGGAGAAUGGAUUUUAGUCUCCA